AAUGUUUUGUUUGAAUGUAAAAUGAACACAUUAUUCUCACAUUGAUUAAAAUUGAUUGAAUUGAAUACUUAAAGCAAUAAAAUUGAGUUUGCACACAAAAUGGCACCUCCUGAGCAGAAGGUGGCAGUAACGCUCAAUAAAAAGGACGUCAAUCGCCAUAAAGGAAGAAUAAACAUCGUUUGUUUUGGGCGCCAAAAUGAAGACUCAGCAGCAGUCAGUCAGAAGAACUCCCUCAGACGGACACCACGUUAUUAAAGUCCAUCAUCCUUGCAUGCGCUACACACUCAAAAGCAUUGAUAAAUGCUGAAUUUAAAAGAAUCACAACUGUCUUAUGUUCCUGCGUGUCACCUGGACCUCCAAUCCAAAAACCUGACGAAACUCUUCUAUCAGAAAGGAGGACAGCUAGCAAACAGACUUCAAACAAUGAAUGAUCAAAUGACAGAAGGCAUGAAUGAAGUCAGCAUCAGUGUGGUCAUUUGAAGACACCACUGUUGGGAUUUGUGCUCUCAAACAACAUGCUUCUUGUGAUGAAGAAGAGGAUCUUUGUAUAGUCCUGGAAGGCAUGAAGGUGUUGCAACAUCGUGCCAUGUUGUUUGAGCUGAUGUAUGCCUUAAACCUGAGCUAUCCUGAUCUCUGCUUUAUUUUUGAAGAAAUCCAAAAGAUUUUAAUGGAACUGCAUUAAGCGUAACUUUAACGAACAGUUUCUUUCAGUGAAAGGAUCAGAAAGACUGUGCUGCUCAUUUAUGUUCUGUUUAUCUGUUUUAAGUGUUUUCUCUUAUUAAAACAUUAACAGUUUGCUGCUCAGAGUUGAUUUUGGAAAUGGUUGUUGUAUUUUGUUUUUGUUGAAUCUUUGAUUAUCAGUUUAUACAAAUGCUGUAGCUCUGACUUUCUGAAGGAUUGAUAUUUUACAGUUUGUAAAUCCAUUUAAAAAAUAAUAGUACUUACUGUUUUGCAUGUCUCUUUGGAAUGCAGUGUUUGUGUUUUAGCACUUCUAAAUCUACUGUGAUAGUAACUAUUUUAAACAUUUGGGUCAGUUUUACAGAUGGGGCUUUUUCUAGUCCCAGACUUUUGCAAUGCCUUAAUUUGAAAACAUAUUGCACUGACAUAUCUUGACAUAUAUCAGUGCCAUUGUUUUGUCUCAAGAUGUACUCCAGUGUUGUUUUUGUAAGGUAGGUUUGUUUGUAAACUUUUUUUGUAAACAAUAUCCUAAUAUAACUAGGGCCUAGUCAUGGAUUAAUCUACAACCUGUUUGGGAAAUUGCCCCUUUGUAUGUA